rnacentral:tRNA from 1 species
GGGUGUGUACCCAAGUCCGGCUGAAGGGACUAGUCUUGAAAACUAGCAGGGGCUUUACGGCCCGCGGAGGUUCGAAUCCUUUCACACCCGCCA